UACAGAGGUCUCAAGCGUUGUUCGGAAUCACUGGGCGUAAAGGGUGCGUAGGUGGCGUGGUAAGUCAGAUGUGAAAGCCCGGGGCUCAACCUCGGAAUUGCAUCCGAUACUACCAUGCUAGAGUACUGAAGAGGUGACUAGAAUUCUAGGUGUAGCAGUGAAAUGCGUAGAUAUCUAGAGGAAUACCAACGGCGAAGGCAGGUCACUGGGCAGUUACUGACACUGAGGCACGAAGGCCAGGGGAGCAAACGGG
rnacentral:rRNA from 1 species